CAACUUUUCAAAAUUGUUUAAUUUGCUGACAGAAGACUAUGAUGCCAUGAUCAACGCAAACAAAUUUCAGUUACUAUCAGGGUAUAUAGAGAGUACAGACACGGAACUGAAAACAAUGGAAGAAAUUAUUCAGCACGAAACGAUAAUUGUAG